rnacentral:rRNA from 1 species
AACGAACGCUUGCGGCAUGCCUAAAACAUGCAAGUCGAACGAGAAAUUGGCUUCGGCCAAGAGUACAGUGGCGCACGGGUGAGUAACACGUAACUAACGUCCCUCCUCGCUGGGGACAACUCCGGGAAACCGGAGCUAAUACCGAAUGAUCUGAUUUGGUCUCUGGACUAAAUUGGUAAAGCCUUCGGGCGCGAGGAGAUCGGGUUGCGGGGCAUUAGCUUGUUGGUGGGGUAAAAGCCUACCAAGGCUACGAUGUCUAGCUGGUCUGAGAGGAUGAUCAGCCACACUGGAACUGAAACACGGUCCAGACUCCCACGGGAGGCAGCAGUUGGGAAUAUUGGACAAUGGGGGAAACCCUGAUCCAGCAAUGCCGCGUGAAUGAUGAAGGCCCUCGGGUCGUAAAGUUCUUUUAGCAGGGAAGAAGGGCAACUUGACGGUACCUGCAGAAAAAGCACCGGCUAACUCCGUGCCAGCCGCCGCCGUAACAC